rnacentral:rRNA from 1 species
UACGUAGGUGGCAAGCGUUGUCCGGAAUUAUUGGGCGUAAAGCGCGCGCAGGCGGUCCUUUAAGUCUGAUGUGAAAGCCCACGGCUCAACCGUGGAGGGUCAUUGGAAACUGGGGGACUUGAGUGCAGGAGAGAAGAGUGGAAUUCCACGUGUAGCGGUGAAAUGCGUAGAUAUCGGGAGGAACACCUGUGGCGAAGGCGGCCACCUGGUUGGAUACUGACGCUGAGACGCGAAAGCGUGGGGAGCAAACAGG